rnacentral:tRNA from 1 species
GGGCGCAUAGCUCAGCGGUAGAGCAAUCGUCUUAUACACGAUCGGCCCUAGGUUCGAAUCCUAGUGCGCCCACCA